rnacentral:ncRNA from 1 species
GUGGAGCAAAGUACGUAUAACGAGCGAUUCACGGACGUUGGCCAGGUACCGGUAGCCGACCUUCGUCCAAACUGAAACUUAAAGAAAUUGACGGAGAGGUAAACAGGGGUCUUCUCAGAGGCCGCUAAUCCUCUGGGGGAUCUCCAGUAGCCAUGCCUUAUCAAGACAUGGUGAAUACGUCUCUGCCUCUUGUACACACCGCCCGUCGCUGUUUGAUUGCCAUCUGAUGGCAGACCUCAGAAGGCUUGCCGAGCUGCUCUGCAGUUAGGCG